rnacentral:rRNA from 1 species
UGGGGAAUUUUGGACAAUGGGGGAAACCCUGAUCCAGCCAUCCCGCGUGUGCGAUGAAGGCCUUCGGGUUGUAAAGCACUUUUGGCAGGAAAGAAACGUCAUGGGUUAAUACCCCGUGAAACUGACGGUACCUGCAGAAUAAGCACCGGCUAACUACGUGCCAGCAGCCGCGGUAAUACGUAGGGUGCAAGCGUUAAUCGGAAUUACUGGGCGUAAAGCGUGCGCAGGCGGUUCGGAAAGAAAGAUGUGAAAUCCCAGAGCUCAACUUUGGAACUGCAUUUGUAACUACCGGGCUAGAGUGUGUCAGAGGGAGGUGGAAUUCCGCGUGUAGAAGUGAAAUGCGUAGAUAUGCGGAGGAACACCGAUGGCGAAGGCAGCCUCCUGGGAUAACACUGACGCUCAGGCACGAAAGCGUGGGGAGCAAACAGG